rnacentral:rRNA from 1 species
GCUGGCGGCGUGCCUAACACAUGCAAGUCGAACGAAGCAAUUAAGAUGAAGUUUUCGGAUGGAAUCUUGAUUGACUGAGUGGCGGACGGGUGAGUAACGCGUGGAUAACCUGCCUCACACUGGGGGAUAACAGUUAGAAAUGACUGCUAAUACCGCAUAAGCGCACAGUGCCGCAUGGCAGUGUGUGAAAAACUCCGGUGGUGUGAGAUGGAUCCGCGUCUGAUUAGCCAGUUGGCGGGGUAACGGCCCACCAAAGCGACGAUCAGUAGCCGACCUGAGAGGGUGACCGGCCACAUUGGGACUGAGACACGGCCCAAACUCCUACGGGAGGCAGCAGUGGGGAAUAUUGCACAAUGGGCGAAAGCCUGAUGCAGCGACGCCGCGUGAGUGAAGAAGUAUUUCGGUAUGUAAAGCUCUAUCAGCAGGGAAGAAAAUGACGGUACCUGACUAAGAAGCCCCGGCUAACUACGUGCCAGCAGCCGCGGUAAUACGUAGGGGGCAAGCGUUAUCCGGAUUUACUGGGUGUAAAGGGAGCGUAGACGGCGAAGCAAGUCUGAAGUGAAAACCCAGGGCUCAACCCUGGGACUGCUUUGGAAACUGUUUUGCUAGAGUGUCGGAGAGGUAAGUGGAAUUCCUAGUGUAGCGGUGAAAUGCGUAGAUAUUAGGAGGAACACCAGUGGCGAAGGCGGCUUACUGGACGAUAACUGACGUUGAGGCUCGAAAGCGUGGGGAGCAAACAGGAUUAGAUACCCCUGGUAGUCCACGCCGUAAACGAUGAAUGCUAGGUGUUGGGGGGCAAAGCCCUUCGGUGCCGCCGCAAACGCAGUAAGCAUUCCACCUGGGGAGUACGUUCGCAAGAAUGAAACUCAAAGGAAUUGACGGGGACCCGCACAAGCGGUGGAGCAUGUGGUUUAAUUCGAAGCAACGCGAAGAACCUUACCAAGUCUUGACAUCCCCCUGACGGGCCGGUAACGCGGCCUUUCCUUCGGGACAGGGGAGACAGGUGGUGCAUGGUUGUCGUCAGCUCGUGUCGUGAGAUGUUGGGUUAAGUCCCGCAACGAGCGCAACCCUUAUCCUUAGUAGCCAGCACGUGAAGGUGGGCACUCUAGGGAGACUGCCAGGGAUAACCUGGAGGAAGGUGGGGAUGACGUCAAAUCAUCAUGCCCCUUAUGAUUUGGGCUACACACGUGCUACAAUGGCGUAAACAAAGGGAAGCGAGACAGUGAUGUGGAGCAAAUCCCAAAAAUAACGUCCCAGUUCGGACUGUAGUCUGCAACCCGACUACACGAAGCUGGAAUCGCUAGUAAUCGCGAAUCAGAAUGUCGCGGUGAAUACGUUCCCGGGUCUUGUACACACCGCCCGUCACACCAUGGGAGUCAGCAACGCCCGAAGUCAGUGACCCAACCGAAAGGAGGGAGCUGCCGAAGGCGGGGCAGGAAA